GAUGAACGCUGGCGGCGUGCCUAACACAUGCAAGUCGAGCGAUUUACUUCGGUAAAGAGCGGCGGACGGGUGAGUAACGCGUGGGUAACCUGCCUCAUACACAUGGAUAACAUACCGAAAGGUAUGCUAAUACAGGAUAAAAUAAGAGAUUCGCAUGGAUUUCUUAUCAAAGCUCCGGCGGUAUGAGAUGGACCCGCGUCUGAUUAGCUAGUUGGUAAGGUAAUGGCUUACCAAGGCGACGAUCAGUAGCCGGCCUGAGAGGGUGAACGGCCACAUUGGGACUGAGACACGGCCCAAACUCCUACGGGAGGCAGCAGUGGGGAAUAUUGCACAAUGGGCGCAAGCCUGAUGCAGCAACGCCGCGUGAAGGAUGAAGGUCUUCGGAUUGUAAACUUCUAUCAGUAGGGAAGAAUAAAUGACGGUACUUGAGGAGGAAGCCCCGGCUAACUACGUGCCAGCAGCCGCGGUAAUACGUAGGGGGCUAGCGUUAUCCGGAUUUACUAGGCGUAAAGGGUGCGUAGGUGGUUUCUUAAGUCAGGAGUGAAAGGCUACGGCUCAACCGUAGUAAGCUCUUGAAACUGGGAAACUUGAGUGCAGGAGAGGGAAGUGGAAUUCCUAGUGUAGCGGUGGAAUGCGUAGAUAUUAGGAGGAACACCAGUAGCGAAGGCGGCUUUCUGGACUGUAACUGACACUGAGGCACGAAAGCGUGGGGAGCAAACAGGAUUAGAUACCCUGGUAGUCC
rnacentral:rRNA from 1 species